GAAGAAGUGAAUUAAGGGCAUUUGGUGGAUGCCUUGGCAUGCACAGGCGAAGAAGGACGUGAUACGCUGCGAUAAGCCGUGGGGAGCUGCGAAUAAGCUUUGAUCCAUGGAUUUCCGAAUGGGGGAACCCACCUUAAAUGCUUGGAGAAUCUAAGUUGUGCUUCGGUACGGCUUAGGUUUCCAAGCAUUAUGAUAAGGUAUCUGCAUCUGAAUACAUAGGGUGUAAGAAGCGAACUCAGGGAACUGAAACAUCUAAGUACCUGAAGGAAAGGAAAGGUGAAAAGCACCCCGACGAGGGGAGUGAAAUAGAACCUGAAACCGGAUGCCUACAAGCAGUCGGAGCUCGAAAGAGUGACGGCGUACCUUUUGUAUAAUGGGUCAACGACUUAGUGUAGCAAGCAAGCUUAAGCCGGUAGGUGUAGGCGUAGCGAAAGCGAGUCUGAAUAGGGCGUUUAGUUUGUUGCAUUAGACCCGAAACCGAGUGAUCUAGCCAUGAGCAGGCUGAAGGUUGGGUAACACCAACUGGAGGGCCGAACCCAUAUCUGUUGCAAUAGAUUGGGAUGACUUGUGGCUAGGGGUGAAAGGCCAAUCAAACUCGGAAAUAGCUGGUUCUCCGCGAAAACUAUUUAGGUAGUGCGUCGAUCGAAUACCCUCGGGGGUAGAGCACUGGAUGGGCUAUGGGGACUCACCGUCUUACUGAUCCUAACCAAACUCCGAAUACCGAGGAGUACUAAUCGGCAGACACACGGCGGGUGCUAACGUCCGUCGUGAAGAGGGCAACAACCCUGACCUCCAGCUAAGGUCCCCAAGUCAUGGCUAAGUGGGAAAGGAUGUGAGGAUCCCAAAACAACCAGGAUGUUGGCUUAGAAGCAGCCAUCAUUUAAAGAAAGCGUAACAGCUCACUGGUCUAAAUAAGGGUCUUUGCGCCGAAAAUGUAACGGGGCUAAAGCCAUGCACCGAAGCUGAGGAUAAGACAGUCGUAGUGGCUGUUUUGUGGUAGCGGAGCGUUCCGUAAGUCUGUGAAGGGGGACCCGUGAGGGCCCCUGGAGAUAUCGGAAGUGCGAAUGUUGACAUGAGUAACGAUAAAGGGAGUGAGAGACUCCCUCGCCGAAAGACCAAGGGUUCCUGCUUAAAGUUAAUCUGAGCAGGGUUAGCCGGCCCCUAAGACGAGGCGGACACGCGUAGUCGAUGGGAACCACGUUAAUAUUCGUGGGCCUGGUGGUAGUGACGGAUCUCGUGUGUUGUACAUUCUUAUUGGAUUGAAUGUGCGGCGAAGAGGUUCCAGGAAAUAGCUCCACCGUAUAGACCGUACCCGAAACCGACACAGGUGGUCAGGUAGAGUAUACCAAGGCGCUUGAGAGAACUAUGUUGAAGGAACUCGGCAAAUUGCACGCGUAACUUCGGAAGAAGCGUGACCCCAUGUUAGGCAACUAGUAUGGGGUGGCACAGACCAGGGGGUAGCGACUGUUUAUCAAAAACACAGGGCUCUGCGAAGUAGCAAUACGACGUAUAGGGUCUGACGCCUGCCCGGUGCUGGAAGGUUAAAGGGAGGGGUGCAAGCUCUGAACUGAAGCCCCAGUAAACGGCGGCCGUAACUAUAACGGUCCUAAGGUAGCGAAAUUCCUUGUCGGGUAAGUUCCGACCUGCACGAAUGGCGUAACGACUUCCCCGCUGUCUCCAACAUAGACUCAGUGAAAUUGAAUUCCCCGUGAAGAUGCGGGGUUCCUGCGGUCAGACGGAAAGACCCCGUGCACCUUUACUAUAGCUUUACACUGGCAUUCGCCAAGGCAUGUGUAGGAUAGGUGGUAGGCUUUGAAGCGGGGACGCCAGUUCUCGUGGAGCCAUCCUUGAAAUACCACCCUUAUCUUCGUGGAUGUCUAACCGCGGUCCGUUAUCCGGAUCCGGGACAGUGUAUGGUGGGUAGUUUGACUGGGGCGGUCGCCUCCGAAAGAGUAACGGAGGCGCGCGAUGGUGGGCUCAGACCGGUCGGAAAUCGGUCGUCGAGUGCAAUGGCAUAAGCCCGCCUGACUGCGAGACUGACAAGUCGAGCAGAGACGAAAGUCGGUCAUAGUGAUCCGGUGGUCCCGUGUGGAAGGGCCAUCGCUCAACGGAUAAAAGGUACGCCGGGGAUAACAGGCUGAUGACCCCCAAGAGUCCAUAUCGACGGGGUUGUUUGGCACCUCGAUGUCGACUCAUCGCAUCCUGGGGCUGGAGCAGGUCCCAAGGGUAUGGCUGUUCGCCAUUUAAAGCGGUACGUGAGUUGGGUUCAGAACGUCGUGAGACAGUUCGGUCCCUAUCUGCCGUGGGUGUAGGAAUAUUGCAGGAUCUGUCCCUAGUACGAGAGGACCGGGAUGGACGUAUCUCUGGUGGAUCUGUUGUCCUGCCAAGGGCAUAGCAGAGUAGCUAUAUACGGAAUGGAUAACCGCUGAAGGCAUCUAAGCGGGAAACCAACCUGAAAACGAGUGUUCCCUAUCAGAGCCGUGGAAGACGACCACGUUGAUAGGACGGGUGUGGAAGUGCAGCAAUGCAUGAAGCUUACCGUUACUAAUAGCUCGAUCGACUUCUUCGU
rfam:Agrobacterium sp. DSM 25559 isolate DSM25559 genome assembly, contig: DSM25559_contig5